rnacentral:rRNA from 1 species
UGCUAUUGGGAUUCGAUUAAGCCAUGCGAGUCGAGAGGGUUCGGCCCUCGGCAGACUGCUCAGUAACACGUGGAUAACCUACCCUUAGGUGGAGGAUAAUCUCGGGAAACUGAGAAUAAUACUCCAUAGAUCUAGGAUGCUGGAAUGCAUCUAGAUCAAAAGCUCCGGCGCCUAAGGAUGGGUCUGCGGACUAUCAGGUUGUAGUCAGGGUAAAGACCUGACUAGCCUACGACGGAUAUGGGUUGUGAGAGCAAUAGCCCAGAGACGAUAUCUGAGACACGAUAUCGGGCCCUACGGGGCGCAGCAGGCGCGAAAUCUUCACAAUGUGCGAAAGCACGAUGAGGGAAUCCCAAGUGCUAGCACGUAAGUGUUAGCUAUUUCUUAGUCUAAAAAACUGAGAGAGUAAGAGCUGGGUAAGACGGGUGCCAGCCGCCGCGGUAAUACCUGCAGCUCAAGUGGUGGCCGCUAUUAUUGGGCCUAAAACGUCCGUAGCCGGUUUAGUAAAUGCUUGGGUAAAUUGUGUAGCUUAACUAUACGAAUACCGGGUAGACUGCUAAACUUGGGACCGGGAGAGGCUAGAGGUACUCCUAGGGUAGAGGUGAAAUUCUGUAAUCCUAGGGGGACCACCAGUGGCGAAGGCGUCUAGCUAGAACGGGUCUGACGGUGAGGGACGAAGCCCUGGGGCGCAAACCGGAUUAGAUACCCGGGUAGUCCAGGGUGUAAACGCUGCUUGCUUGAUGUUAGUUGGGCUCCGAGCCCAACUAGUGUCGGAGAGAAGUUGUUAAGCAAGCUGCCUGGGAAGUACGGUCGCAAGACUGAAACUUAAAGGAAUUGGCGGGGAGCACAGCAACGGGUGGAGCGUGCGGUUU